GGUCCACUCCCUGCUUCCCACCCCGAGAGUUCCUGGGUUAUGCUGGUGACUCCAGGUGUGGCAGAGCACAGGCUCAGGAAGGACUUAACUCCUUGCUCCAAUCUUUGCAGUCCAAGUUAGUGACCACUGUACCGCUCCAUUUGGUCGAGGAAGUGUGGCAGACCUGUACCAGUAGGGUGUGAAACUGUGAUCUAGACUCAUUAUAAGCUCACAUGACAGUAGCUGUGUGACAUGCAGAGAAGGCACAUCGAGUCAGGUAAAUAAUAAAGGGCUAAGUGAUAUUAAAGAAUUAUUUUCUCACUGUGACAACCCACUGCUCCAGCUUCCUUUCAUUUAAAAUUAUUGCUAUCAUAGCAUAAACCAAAAUUAAAUUGUCUACUGUUCAAGAUGGUAUAACAUACACAUCUCAUUUAACACAUCUGCAUUCCUGAAAGACAACCGGAUUAUUUCCCUCUAGAUGUUGUUUUAGAAUAUUUCCAUGGGCUUUUUGGACCUAAUUAAAAAAAAAAAAAACAGUAAGCAAGCAUUACAAAUGUAGCGUCUUUGGCAGUGAAGCCUGUGCACAUUUGAUUUGCCUGCAUACUCUUCAAAGGCACGAAUGAAAGGAAAUCUG
rnacentral:lncRNA from 1 species